AGCGAACGCUGGCGGCAGGCCUAACACAUGCAAGUCGAACGGAUCCUUCGGGAUUAGUGGCGGACGGGUGAGUAACACGUGGGAACGUGCCCUUUGGUUCGGAACAACUCAGGGAAACUUGAGCUAAUACCGGAUGUGCCCUUCGGGGGAAAGAUUUAUCGCCAUUGGAGCGGCCCGCGUCUGAUUAGCUAGUUGGUGAGGUAACGGCACACCAAGGCGACGAUCAGUAGCUGGUCUGAGAGGAUGAUCAGCCACACUGGGACUGAGACACGGCCCAGACUCCUACGGGAGGCAGCAGUGGGGAAUCUUGCGCAAUGGGCGAAAGCCUGACGCAGCCAUGCCGCGUGAAUGAUGAGGGUCUUAGGAUUGUAAAAUUCUUUCAGCGGGGAAGAUAGUGACGGUACCCGCAGAAGAAGCUACGGCUAACUUCGUG
rnacentral:rRNA from 1 species